UACAGAGGUCCCAAGCGUUGUUCGGAUUCAUUGGGCGUAAAGGGUGCGUAGGCGGCGCGGUAAGUCGGGUGUGAAAUCUCGGAGCUUAACUCCGAAACUGCAUUCGAUACUGGCGUGCUUGAGGACUGGAGAGGAGACUGGAAUUUACGGUGUAGCGGUGAAAUGCGUAGAUAUCGAGAGGAACACCAGUGGCGAAAGGCGAGUC
rnacentral:rRNA from 1 species